rnacentral:tRNA from 1 species
GGCACUUUGGCGGAGUGGUUAACGCGAUGCCCUGCUAUCUUGGUAGUGUAGGCAUUCCCUUCGGGGGCGUGUGUUCGAAUCACACAGGUGUCG